rfam:Myotis davidii contig225945, whole genome shotgun sequence.
GGCAGUUCUCAGGUGACACACCCCAGAAUUGGGCUUCCUCCUCUCUGGUUCCAGGUGCGUCACCCCGAGAACUGCA